CAGCCGCCGCGGGAAUACGAAGGGUGCAAGCGUUACUCGGAAUUACUGGGCGUAAAGCGUGCGUAGGUGGUGGUUUAAGUCCGUUGUGAAAGCCCUGGGCUCAACCUGGGAAUUGCAGUGGAUACUGGGUCACUAGAGUGUGGUAGAGGAUAGUGGAAUUUCCGGUGUAGCAGUGAAAUGCGUAGAGAUCGGGAGGAACAUCAGUGGCGAAGGCGGCCAUCUGGGACAACACUGACGCUGAGGCACGAAAGCGUGGGGAGCAAACAGGAUUAGAUACCCGCGUAGUCCCUGUCUCUUAUAC
rnacentral:rRNA from 1 species